AUGAGCUAUAACUUUCUUUGCUGUGUGGCAUUCUGCCUCCUUCAGGCAGGUCCAGGAAAUGCUGGCCUCACUCAGACCCCCACAGCCCAGGUCCUGAAGGCAGGCCAGCGCAUGACACUGAGCUGUGCCCAGGACUUGAAGCACGACAGCAUGUACUGGUACCGCCAGGAUCUGGGGCUAGGGCUGAGGCUUGUCUAUUACUCAUUUGACGUUAACCUCACUGAAAAAGGAGAAGUCCCUGAUGGGUACACGGUGUCCAGAUCCAGUAGCGAGAACUUCCCGCUCACCCUGGAGUCGGCCAGCCCCUCCCAGACAGCGGUGUACUUCUGUGCCAGCAGUUACUCCACAGUGCUACACAGCUGCCUCUGCUCUGCACGUUAA